AUUGAACGCUGGCGGCAGGCCUAACACAUGCAAGUCGAACGAGUUGCGGACGGGUGAGUAAUGUCUGGGAAACUUCCUGAUGGAGGUGGAUAACUACUGGAAACGGUAGCUGAUACCACAUACCAUCGGCUGGGCCCAGAUGGGAUUAGCUAUUAGGUGGGGUAAAGGCACACCUAGGCGACGAUCCCUAGCGGGUCUGAGAGGAUGACCAGCCACACUGGGACUGAGACACGGGCCAGACUCCUACGGGAGGCAGCAGUGGGGAAUAUUGCACAAUGGGCGCAAGCCUGAUGCAGCCAUGCCGCGUGUAUGAAGAAGGCUUUCGGGUUGUAAAGUACUGUCAGCGGGGAGGCGUUACCCGCAGAAGAAGCACCGGCUAACUCCGUGCCAGCAGCCGCGGUAAUUC
rnacentral:rRNA from 1 species